AGAGUCCCUGCAACUUCGCUUAUUCCGGAUUGCCGCGGUGCUGAGCCGGCCGCCUGAGCUUGAGCGAGUCUCUGUGCGCCCCGCACUUGGCACACACCCCAAGGGGCACGGAUCAGUGCACGCUGGCUCCCGGAUCUUCGGAUACAGUUUUCUUUCUCCCAAGUUUUGAGCCCAUGUUACAAUAAAGAAAGAGUUGCUGAGCAGAGGCACCCAAUCUAUGUUUCCUGCCAUCAAAGCCACCUGAAAAAGCGGGGGUAAAAGCGUCCAUCUGUGCAUCUCAGGGAGCAGGGGGAAAAGGCCCUGGUGUGUGCCCAUCCUGAAGUCACUGCGCCUUGGUCUUUGGAACCUAUGAGACAAGAGCAAGCCUUGGCAGCUUCCCUCAGCCUCAACGUCUCCGUGUCUCUCGUGAACACACUUUUGGUAACUUACGUGGAUUACAUCGAGUGCCUCAGCUCCUGCUUAGAUCUGAGAGUCAGACUGCGGAAGUCUCAGUGUGGCCUUGGACCAGGUCUGGCAGAACCAACCAGAUAAAACCCGCAGCAGGCCUUUGGGCCUUCAAACUUCUCCUGCCACAAAAGCUCCACCAGCCCAAGUUCUUGGCCUGCAGGGUCAGGCUGUGUGUGUACCCUGCAGGCAAGCAAGCGAUUUGCAGAAGGUCCUCCUCAGCUCCAGUUGGGCUGGUGGGAUGCGCUUCCCUGCGGGGCGUCUACUUUUUCUUCCAUAAUUCAAUCUACUAGGCAAAAGAACAUGCUAAUGAACCCAGCAGAAAGCCUUGAGUGGUUUAAGAUGAACAACUUGAGAAGGAGGCCUGUGUCUUGCUGGCCUUGGAAUCCUUCCUGGCUGUACUGAAGAACCAGCAAGGGCCCCAGCUCCUACAUUUACUCUCCAGUGUCCCCUCUGGUGGGCAUUCGUCAUCCCUUCCACCACACAGCUACCCACCAUCUAACCUUUGGCUGUUUUUCUCCUGUAACCCCGAAGAAGAGACAAUUCCUACUUAGAGAAGGGCAGCCUCUCCAACCCUGGAGAACCUCCCAGACGGUUUCCAGAAAUCCUCUUUCUGCAGGUCACGCCUUUGUGUGAUCCUUCUAUCCUGUGUUAGAGACAGCAGUGCCUGCUGAGCCUGCCAGAUCAGGUUAUAAAAAUAGUGACCCUCCCCUACCUCCAGACUCCCUCCCUCCACCCCACCCCCAGCACUUCCUCCAAGCUGCCAUUUUGUGAAUGGUUCUGUGGAGAAACUUGGAAGACAAGGAGCUGGCAAAGGCAGCUAAGGGACUGAACCGGAAGUCCUCCUCUCCCUACCCCGAGACAACAGCAUCUGCCCGCCCGAGGUUUUGCUUAGGAAGGAUUCUGGGCCACAGGCGCUCAACGAGGUAAGCCUGGAGAUAGUCAAUGGUUGUUUUAAGAUGAGUUUUUAAAUCUCUUAUUAUUUUACAGGGCUAUGCAAGACCAUCUUAACACACAUGUGGAAUGCACUCUGAGUAUAAUUCCCCCAAACUCAGCCGCCCUCAGGUUAACCCCCAACUGUCACCCUAUGAUACUUACAUGUCACACCAAAGCAUAUGUGACUUUUUGUGUCUAUAAAGUCUAGGAAACACAUGAGAGAACCUAUGUUUGCCUUCCUUUGAUUGGUUUAAUUUCUUGAUAUGAUUAUCGCCAAUUGUAUCUAUUUUCCUGCGACAGAUAUAAAUUUCAUUACUUAUGGUUGAUGAAAGAGACAGUGUAUAUAAAUCCCAUCUUCUUCAUGUGUUCCGCUGUGGACAGACACCUAGAUUGAUCCCAGAACUUAAUAUUGUGAAUAAUACUGCAGUAAAUUGCUGAGGGCAAGUCUCUCUGUGAAAUGUUGACUUGGACUUUUUAUUGAGACUCUAUCUCGCCCCCAAUCAGGUUGGCAGUCAUCAACAAAACAAAUGUCUAGGUGAUGAGGAUGAGGACAAAAGGGAAUGCUUAUACAUCGUUGGUGAGGAUGUAAAUAAGUCAGCCUACUGUGGAGGUCUCUCAAACAUUUAAAACUUGGAUCUGCAGAGAGGGCUCAGUGGUUGAGAGUGCUUGCUGCCUUUCACUGUUUGUUGCUCUGUGCAGAAGAGUGGAUUUCAGCGUCUCUAGCACCCACACUGGUUGUUGGCUCGCAACCUGAUGUUAACUGCAGCUCCAAAUCUGAUGCUCUCUCCUGGCAUCCAUAGGCAUCCGUUCUCGUGUAUGUACACGCACACGCACAAAUAAAAAACAAUCCCUGAAAACUGACCUGUCCCAGACUUGCUGUGCUGCCUCUCCUGGCUAUUUCCCCGGAGCCUUUGAGCUUUGCCAUGAGCUGUUACCCAGGAAGUGAUGACUAACGGGCCCUGUAAUGUACGCAAGGACAUGGCUACUGGCACCACCUCCCCUUCCCUGCAGAAAUUUUUAAAAGUUAUUUCCUCUUUAAAACAAACAAGCAAACAAACAAACAAAAACAACAACCCCCCUCCCAAACACAAAAAACAAAAACAAACAAAAAAACCGAAAGAAACAGCAAAAACCCCAGCACCUCACUGGCUUCUUCCUCCAGUUACCGCCUCACAUCUAGGCUCUUCCUACAAUAAAUGUCUUCCAUAUUGUAAGAUGUCCAUGUUGGCCAUCUUUGCUUCUGUGUCAUCUUCUUUCUUAUAAUCCUCUUGUGAGGGUUGCCCUUCUCUGACGUCACCUUUCUACUUCUCAUCACUGGGCCUGUGCUUUCUGGCUCCGCACUGACUUUAGUCAUCCUCCUUCAACCCUCUCAACUGCUCCCUCCUAAUUUUCUCACUACCUCCUCUUUCUGUGAGCUUUAAUACUUGGCCAGGACUCAGUUCUUUAGCAUCUCCUUCGCUCUGUCUAUGCUUUCUUGGUGGUUUUGUUAGCCCUGUUACUAAUUAAUAUUUCAAAUGCAGUGGCUUGAAUGGUACCCAUUUGAGCUCUCAGAGCUAUAGGUUUCAAAUAGGAGUUAUGGUGCGGUUGUGCCCUCUGCUUAGUCUCAAAAGUUGAAGUCAAGGGUUGAGCUCGGCUGACCUUUCAUGUGACCUUUGGAGUGUGCUUUGGAAUGCCUUUGGGAGUUAGCUGAAUUCAGUCCCCUGAGGUUAGAGGAUAGGGUGCUGCCUUGUCACGCAGGAUGUCAGCCCGGAGCUGCUCCCAGCGCUUGAGGCCUACCUCUUCCUGCUUCAUGGGCCUACCCUCCAAGGCAACAAUAGCAAAAGUUGCAGGCUUCCCGGACUUCCUCAUUCCUGCCUCUCUCAGGCCUUUCCUCUUCCAUCUCUCUGACUGAGCCAAAGAAAACCCUCUGCCCUCAAAGGCUCUCAUAUAUUUAUCAGAUCCCUCCUGGCCAUCUAGGACACUCCCUCUCUUCAGAAGUCAGGACCUUAGCCAUACGCGCAAAGCCUUGUUUGUCAUGGAACACAACAGUCACACACCUAGCUAUCAGAGUAUGGGCAUGUUAGGGAGACGCCUCUGUUUGCCACAGGCUACCAAGUUGCUCUCCCUAUUUACACACUCGAAUUUUUCCAGCCAUGGCUUCUUAUCUUAUAGUAGAGCCACCGGCAUCCUCAUAAGGUCUGAUCUGCUUUACAUAAUCCUCAUUGUCCAAGCCUUCUGCGACACUCUAACAUCCUUGCUGCUGCCCAAACACAUGCGCAUUGUAUUCUGAUCCCUGUUCUUCCUUAACACUGAGUCCACAUCCCUCCCCUCUGUCUGACUCAUCCCCUCGCAGCUGAUCUGUGUUUCUACCUUCACACCAAGACUCCCUGGCCAUUUGUCGAAAAACAGCAUCUUGAAGCAGGAUUUGUAGCCCUUGCACCUAAUCUCAGAGCUUGGGAGACAGAGGUAGAAGGAUCUCUGGCGGUUCAAGGUUGGCAUGAUGUACAUGGCUAGUUCAAACAUAGCUAGAGCUACAUAAUAACGAGACCCUGUCUC